UACAGAGGGUGCGAGCGUUAAUCGGAAUUACUGGGCGUAAAGCGCGCGUAGGCGGCUCUGCAAGUCGGGUGUGAAAUCCCCAGGCUUAACCUGGGAACUGCAUUCGAGACUGCAUUGCUAGAGUAUGGGAGAGGGAAGUGGAAUUUCCGGUGUAGCGGUGAAAUGCGUAGAUAUCGGAAGGAACAUCAGUGGCGAAAGCGACUACCUGGCCUGUUCUUGACGCUGAGGCGCGAAAGCUAGGGGAGCAAACGGG
rnacentral:rRNA from 1 species